CAAUCCUACGGGAGGCAGCAGUAGGGAAUUUUCGUCAAUGGGCGCAAGCCUGAACGAGCAAUGCCGCGUGAACGAGGAAGGUCUUCGGAUCGUAAAGUUCUGUUGAAGGGGAAAAGGAGCGGAGAGAGGAAAUGGUCUCCGAUUGAUAUUACCCUUCGAGGAAGUCACGGCUAACUACGUGCCAGCAGCCGCGGUAAUACGUAGGUGGCGAGCGUUAUCCGGAAUGAUUGGGCGUAAAGGGAGCGUAGGCGGCCUGAUA
rnacentral:rRNA from 1 species